rnacentral:rRNA from 1 species
AUUGAACGCUGGCGGCAGGCCUAACACAUGCAAGUCGAGCGGAGCGGCGGACGGGUGAGUAAUGCCUAGGAAUCUGCCUGGUAGUGGGGGAUAACGUCCGGAAACGGGCGCUAAUACCGCAUACUAUCAGAUGAGCCUAGGUCGGAUUGGCUCGUUGGUGGGGUAAGGGCCUACGAAGGCGACGAUCCGUAACUGGUCUGAGAGGAUGAGCAGUCACACUGGAACUGAGACACGGUCCAAACGCCUACGGGCGACAGCAGUGGGGAAUAUGGGGCAAUGGGCGAAAGCCUGAACCAGCCAUGCCGCGUGUUUGAAGAAGGUCUUCAGAUUGUAGAGCACUUUAAGUUGUGAGCCGUUACGAGCAGAAUAAGCACCGGCUAACUUCGUGCCAGCAGCCGCGGUAAUAC